CUGAUUAUGCCCAAGUCUCCAUGGUGCUCAAAGGGGUGGAGUUCAGCUAGGAAGAUGGAGAUGAAAGCAAACACCCAAGGCCAUUAGAGGAGAUGGCUUCAGUGGUAAAGAGUGUCUGGGGAGAGUACCCACGUGGCCGAGGAUCCCAAUCUUCGAGGAUGCUCCUAUCACAAGCUGCCAUCCACGCCUGGGUACAGAGGAGCAAUCAGCCCUUGGGACAGCCCCAGGUAAUGGUUUGUUGAAUAGUUUAGAGACCAACACUUGGCUCUCUGUGGUGGACUUGGGAGUACAUCACACACGCCAUGGGUUUCUGUCAGUGGACCCAUCAUCGGUACACUGCCAUUUGCCCAUCCCUAGGUUGUGUGUUAAGUACAAUAAAUCUACAUUCAUAUGUCAGCGUAUUUCAAAUCCCAACCAGCUGAGUAAGGGGUUUCCAGGCUCAUCUCAAACUCACGGCAAUCCUCCUGUCUCAGUCUCCAGAGUGUUCUUUGCCCUAUGUUGGAGAUGAAGAAACUGAGGCUUAGGAAUGUUAAUCUACCCAAGGUCACAGUGGAGGCAGACCGUGCCCAGGUUUGCAGACUCCCAAGGCUGUUCUUCACAGGUGACAUCCUCAGCCAGAACCCUUGACUUGCCUGCUGGUUAUGGUCCAAGUCUACAGAACCCUCUGUCUUGGCAGCUCCUGGUUAAAGCUGGACCUGACCCAGAGCCUGGCUUUAACUACAGCUUCCUGCCUCUCUCCAGAUCACGUUGACUUUCACGCCCUCAUCAAGCUCACCGAUGGUUCCAACCUCUCAGUCUCCACACUGUUUGACAAAAAUUCCUCCUCUGGUGUUAUAGAACUUUCUGAGAGAAGAAUGUAAGAUUGUAUUGAUCAGACAUAAAGUCAGAUUUCUCAUGAAGCUUUUGGAAAUCUUGUAUAAGCCCUUUGCCUAUACACAGACCCACAGAAGCCUGAGCUUGCGGCCAUCGUGGGUUUUAAGGUGGGCAUGAGACUUUCCCAGACAGGCAACCUUUCAGAAGACUCAGGCCCCUUGGGCUGCUCCUUCACAAGCUAUGUUCAGUGAAGACAUUCAGUUCCUCAGUUCCUGCCACCAGUGCUCCCAGCCCAUGACUUAGGACGGUCCACCGGUUCUGUCCAUUCCUGUGACAGAGCCUGGCCCAGGGACACUUGCUCUGAGAUUUUGUUCUUUUUUUUUUUUUUUUUUGGAUCCAUAGAAGAGUCUACUGAGAAGUCAGAGAAUGUGGCUUUCUAAUAAUCCAGGAAGGCCCUGAAAGCUCUGGCCCUAAAGCUGCACGCGCGCGCGCGCACGCGUGUGCGCGCACACACACACACACACACACACACACACACACACACACACACACACACACACACACACACACACACACACAGAGAGCUCUGGCUAUGGCUCCGGGCCUCACCAGCACCAUGAACAGCAUGGGACCUACAGCUGUGCUGUGCAGUGGAGCCACAGGUCCUGGCUGCCCUGCCAAGGAUUGCCUCAUCUGACCCUGCUCUGCCAUGCCAGGUGCUGCUGCUUGUCCUCUGGUCCUUGCUUUCAUAUCCAGAAGUGACUGUACUGUCACAAGCUUUCUCUCUACCUCCAUUCGAGUCCCUCUUGGCUAACAUUCUCAUCUCUGGUUCCUGCUCUUCAUCUUCAGCCCUUAUACCCACUUCUUGCACUGGCUGCUCCAGACAAGUGUCAACAUCUGGCUGGGCCAAAGGCCCAGCUGUGGUCCCUCUCCCGAGGGAGGGCUUGGGUUGCUCCAGUUCGCAAGGAGGUCACAGCAAUUAUAAGUCUUUAGGCCACUCAAGCUCUGAGAUGCCCAAAGCUGGUGUGUAGUGUGAGAAAAUGACCCAAGG
rnacentral:sRNA from 1 species